rnacentral:snRNA from 1 species
GUGCUUGCUUCGGCAGCACAUACACUAAAAUUGGAAUGCUACAGGGAAGAUUAGCAUGGCCCCCGCACGAGGAUGACAUGCAAAUCUGUGAAGCAUUCCAUUUUUAA